GCGGCCCCGACCAACCUGACCCCUCCCGCCCAAACCGCGGCGCACCGCGCGGCCCCACGCGAAAGCACGCCCACGGGCGACCCAGCCGGGCCGCUCAGGUGGGCGGGGGCCGCCGGGGACUCUGGAGCUCCUCCCGGGAAGCAGACACCUCCGCCCUGCCCGCAGCCGCCUGGGUGUGCGGUCGGAACCCCAGCGUCUGAUGGCCCUCCAGCUCCGCGGAUUCGGCGUCUCUCUGCCCUCGGUCUCUCUCCCUCGGUCCCUCUGGAUCUCCCCCGUCUCUGAUCUUCCCGUCUCUGGGUCUCCCCGACUCUGAGUCUCCCCGUCUCUGGGUCCCGCUCUCCUGCCUUUUGUCGGGCGUGCCCUGGGCGGGCACCCCGCGGGGCAGGAAGGAGCGCGGGGCUCUGGCCGCCCCUCCCAGCGCUAAGUAGAAACAGACGCGGAAACCCGCGCCCCGGGCGCGAUCCCAGGCGCGCUCUGAUCCUGGGCGCCGCCCUCCUGCCCUGCGCCCCGGGGCGCCCCCACGGGACGGACAGGCGGAAGUGAGAAAUCCCGCGGUCCCCGCCACGGAGAAGGGCGCCCGGCAGGCCGCACCCGUCACCCGUGCAGAGGCUGACUGCCCAACGCGGCAGCCAGGCCAGGCCCUCCUGGCCCUGGGGCCCUCUUCCUCCUCCUCCAGGGCCGGCGCCCCUACCGUUUGUGUGGCCAGCUGAGCGGGUGACCUCCCUGGGGAAGGACUGGCACCGGCCUUGCCUGAAGUGUGAGAAAUGUGGAAAGACGCUGACCUCAGGGGGCCACGCCGAGCAUGAAGGCAAGCCCUAUUGCAACCACCCCUGCUACGCG